rnacentral:rRNA from 1 species
UUAGUCUCGGCGGCCUAUACAAGUAUUUCGUAGUAUGGUCCCCAAGGCUUCGACGGGUAGCGGCUUGAGAGGUUAGCGCCACACUGGACUGAGACCCGCUAGACUCUACGGGAGGCAGCAGUGGGGAGUAUUGCACAAUGGGCGAAGCUGAUGCAGCACGCGCGUGGGGAUGACGGCUCGGGUGUAAACUCUUUAGUAGGGAAGAAGGGCUUCGGCUUGACGGUACCUGCAGAAAAAAGCACCGGCUAACUACGUGCCAGCAGCCGCGGUAAUACGUAGGGUGCAAGCGUUGUCCGGAAUUAUUGGGCGUAAAGAGCUCGUAGGCGGUUUGUCGCGUCUGCUGUGAAAACCCGAGGCUCAACCUCGGGCCUGCAGUGGGUACGGGCAGACUAGAGUGCGGUAGGGGAGAAUGGAAUUCCUGGUGUAGCGGUGGAAUGCGCAGAUAUCAGGAGGAACACCGAUGGCGAAGGCAGUUCUCUGGGCCGUUACUGACGCUGAGGAGCGAAAGCGUGGGGAGCGAACAGGAUUAGAUACCCUGGUAGUCCACGCCGUAAACGUUGGGAACUAGAUGUGGGGACCUUUCCACGGUCUCCGUGUCGCAGCUAACGCAUUAAGUUCCCCGCCUGGGGAGUACGGCCGCAAGGCUAAAACUCAAAGGAAUUGACGGGGGCCCGCACAAGCGGCGGAGCAUGCGGAUUAAUUCGAUGCAACGCGAAGAACCUUACCAAGGCUUGACAUAUACCGGAAACUUCCAGAAAUGGUUGCCCCGCAAGGUCGGUAUACAGGUGGUGCAUGGUUGUCGUCAGCUCGUGUCGUGAGAUGUUGGGUUAAGUCCCGCAACGAGCGCAACCCUCGUUCUAUGUUGCCAGCACGUCAUGGUGGGAACUCAUAGGAGACUGCCGGGGUCAACUCGGAGGAAGGUGGGGAUGACGUCAAAUCAUCAUGCCCCUUAUGUCUUGGGCUUCACGCAUGCUACAAUGGCCGGUACAAAGGGCUGCGAUACCGUAAGGUGGAGCGAAUCCCAAAAAGCCGGUCUCAGUUCGGAUUGAGGUCUGCAACUCGACCUCAUGAAGUCGGAGUCGCUAGUAAUCGCAGAUCAGCAACGCUGCGGUGAAUACGUUCCCGGGCCUUGUACACACCGCCCGUCAAGUCAUGAAAGUCGGUAACACCCGAAGCCAGUGGCCUAACCGCAAGGAGGGAGCUGUCGAAGGUGAUCGAAGUCCG